GCAACAGAAAGGCUAAUAUGGGCGGUCUCGGCUAACCUCUCGGAAGGGAGGUGAUGCCCCGUGGAAGUAUACCAAGCGAUGACGCUAAUGAUUUCAUUUGCGACUCUAAUUGUCUUGAUACUUACAAACAAACGGAAAUAGACCGCCCUCGGCAAAAGGAAGCGGUCUAUUUUUAGGCUUUCAUUCUAAAUCCGGAGCCGAACCGCCCUUAAAAGCGGCUGUUGCAACGGGGAGUCGUGUUGGUAUCACGGCUC
rnacentral:sRNA from 1 species